UACGUAGGGAGCAAGCGUUGUCCGGAAUCAUUGGGCGUAAAGCGCGCGUAGGUGGCUUCAUAAGUCCGUUGUGAAAGUCAAAGGCUCAACCUUUGAAAGCCGAUGGAUACUGUGAAGCUAGAGUACGGAAGAGGCGAGUGGAAUUCCUGGUGUAGCGGUGGAAUGCGCAGAUAUUGGGAGGAACAUCGGUGGCGAAGGCGGCUACCUGGACGGGUACUGACGCUGAGGCGCGAAAGCUAGGGGAGCAAACAGG
rnacentral:rRNA from 1 species